AAUUUGAUACAGGUGUGUCUAUAAAGGCCCUGAAUCAUCCCUCGGGCUUGGCGAAAUAACAUAGUCCCCGGGUAGCAUAUGCUGCUGUGAACAUCUCAGCCAAGUUUUGCUGUCGUAUGCAGUGCGUGGAGCUUCCAAGCGGAUUGCAAUGUCGCCUUCCUCUCAAACGUUCUCAUUUCAAACAGAAUCCUGCUUCUCACUCUCUCCUGGACGCUUUAUUUCGUAAUGAAGCUCAUUCCCAUACACAGCUGCUAUUGGUAGCUCCGGUGGGCUACGCAGCAUAGAUACCGUGGCUGCCACGAGUCCACUGGCUAAGCGCACUGCGACUCGCUGAGGGCAACCACGUUUGCCUUCUGUUUAGCGCGUCAUAGGCACCGAAAUCGGAAGUCGUGGCGUCUACGUUUACAUUUGAAAUGAAAUUUGAACUUCGCGCCAUGGUGGCAUUUAGAAGGUGGAGCGUUUUGGCCACACUUCACUCCACCAUAGCCUUCGCAGUGCAAGGCAUUUAAGAAGGAACGGGAGCACAGUG
rnacentral:lncRNA from 1 species